rnacentral:rRNA from 1 species
AACGAACGCUGGCGGCAUGCCUAAUACAUGCAAGUCGAACGAACACUUCGGUGUUAGUGGCGCACGGGUGCGUAACGCGUGGGAAUCUGCCCUUGGGUUCGGAAUAACUUCGGGAAACUGAAGCUAAUACCGGAUGAUGACGUAAGUCCAAAGAUUUAUCGCCCAGGGAUGAGCCCGCGUAGGAUUAGGUAGUUGGUGAGGUAAAGGCUCACCAAGCCUACGAUCUUUAGCUGGUCUGAGAGGAUGAUCAGCCACACUGGGACUGAGACACGGCCCAGACUCCUACGGGAGGCAGCAGUGGGGAAUAUUGGACAAUGGGCGAAAGCCUGAUCCAGCAAUGCCGCGUGAGUGAUGAAGGCCUUAGGGUUGUAAAGCUCUUUUACCAGGGAUGAUAAUGACAGUACCUGGAGAAUAAGCUCCGGCUAACUCCGUGCCAGCCGCCGCAGUAA